UACAGAGGGGGCAAGCGUUGUUCGGAAUUACUGGGCGUAAAGGGCGCGUAGGCGGCCUGCUAAGUCGAACGUGAAAUCCCUGGGCUCAACCCAGGAACUGCGUCCGAUACUGGUUGGCUUGAAUCCGGGAGAGGGACGUGGAAUUCCAGGUGUAGCGGUGAAAUGCGUAGAUAUCUGGAGGAACACCGGUGGCGAAGGCGACGUCCUGGACCGGCAUUGACGCUGAGGCGCGAAAGCUAGGGGAGCGAACAGG
rnacentral:rRNA from 1 species